UACAUUAUACAUAUGUACCAACGAGGCCCCCUUUCCCCAACAGAAAACAAACGAAAUAAAAAAAAAGGGCACCUCAUACGUAUUUAUUACAAAAACAGGGCACGUCAAAAAUUCCACUGUACUGGGUUUGUCCCCAAUAGUAGCUAUGGUAAUAUUACAAGGCAAACCCUCUGGCUGUGGCCGAAUUUCGAGUUGCAUACCCG
rnacentral:lncRNA from 1 species